rnacentral:rRNA from 1 species
UCGGGUUGUAAAGCACUUUUGUCCGGAAAGAAAACUUCUGCCCUAAUACGGCGGGAGGAUGACGGUACCGGGAGAAUAAGCACCGGCUAACUACGUGCCAGCAGCGCGGUAAUCGUAGGGUGCGAGCGUUAAUCGGAAUUACUGGGCGUAAAGCGUGCGCAGGCGGUUCGUUAAGACAGAUGUGAAAUCCCCGGGCUUAACCUGGGAACUGCAUUUGUGACUGGCGAGCUAGAGUAUGGCAGAGGGGGGUAGAAUUCCACGUGUAGCAGUGAAAUGCGUAGAGAUGUGGAGGAAUACCGAUGGCGAAGGCAGCCCCCUGGGCCAAUACUGACGCUCAUGCACGAAAGCGUGGGGAGCAAACAGGAUUAGAUACCCUGGUAGUCCACGCCCUAAACGAUGUCAACUAGUUGUUGGGUCUUCAUUGACUUAGUAACGUAGCUAACGCGUGAAGUUGACCGCCUGGGGAGUACGGUCGCAAGAUUAAAACUCAAAGGAAUUGACGGGGACCCGCACAAGCGGUGGAUGAUGUGGAUUAAUUCGAUGCAACGCGAAAAACCUUACCUACCCUUGACAUGGUCGGAACCCUGCUG